UGAGGAAUAUUGGUCAAUGGACGAGAGUCUGAACCAGCCAAGUCGCGUGAGGGAAGACUGCCCUAUGGGUUGUAAACCUCUUUUAUAAGGGAAGAAUAAGUUCUACGUGUAGAAUGAUGCCUGUACCUUAUGAAUAAGCAUCGGCUAACUCCGUGCCAGCAGCCGCGGUAAUACGGAGGAUGCGAGCGUUAUCCGGAUUUAUUGGGUUUAAAGGGUGCGUAGGCGGUUUAUUAAGUUAGUGGUUAAAUAUUUGAGCUAAACUCAAUUGUGCCAUUAAUACUGGUGAACUGGAGUACAGACGAGGUAGGCGGAAUAAGUUAAGUAGCGGUGAAAUGCAUAGAUAUAACUUAGAACUCCGAUAGCGAAGGCAGCUUACCAGACUGUAACUGACGCUGAUGCACGAGAGCGUGGGUAGCGAACAGGAUUAGAUACCCUGGUAGUCCACGCCGUAAACGAUGCUCACUGGUUCUGUGCGAUAUAUUGUACGGGAUUAAGCGAAAGUAUUAAGUGAGCCACCUGGGGAGUACGUCGGCAACGAUGAAACUCAAAGGAAUUGACGGGGGCCCGCACAAGCGGAGGAACAUGUGGUUUAAUUCGAUGAUACGCGAGGAACCUUACCUGGGUUUAAAUGGGAAAUGUCGUAUUUGGAAACAGAUAUUCUCUUCGGAGCGUUUUUCAAGGUGCUGCAUGGUUGUCGUCAGCUCGUGCCGUGAGGUGUCGGGUUAAGUCCCAUAACGAGCGCAACCCUUACCGUUAGUUGCUAGCAUGUAAUGAUGAGCACUCUAACGGGACUGCCACCGUAAGGUGAGAGGAAGGCGGGGAUGACGUCAAAUCAGCACGGCCCUUACACCCAGGGCUACACACGUGUUACAAUGGCCGGUACAGAGGGCCGCUACCAGGUGACUGGAUGCCAAUCUCAAAAGCCGGUCGUAGUUCGGAUUGGAGUCUGUAACCCGACUCCAUGAAGUUGGAUUCGCUAGUAAUCGCGCAUCAGCCAUGGCGCGGUGAAUACGUUCCC
rnacentral:rRNA from 1 species